GGUAAAAGAUUUAUCGCCUAGAGAGGGGCUCGCGUCUGAUUAGCUAGAUGGUGAGGUAAAGGCUUACCAUGGCGACGAUCAGUAGCUGGUCUGAGAGGAUGAGCAGCCACACUGGGACUGAGACACGGCCCAGACUCCUACGGGAGGCAGCAGUGGGGAAUUUUCCGCAAUGGGCGAAAGCCUGACGGAGCAAUACCGCGUGAGGGAGGAAGGCUCUUGGGUUGUAAACCUCAAAACUUAGGGAAGAAAAAAAUGACGGUACCUAAUGUAAGCAUCGGCUAACUCCGUGCCAGCAGCCGCGGUAAUACGGAGGAUGCAAGCGUUAUCCGGAAUCAUUGGGCGUAAAGAGUCCGUAGGUGGCACUUCAAGUCUGCUUUCAAAGACCGAAGCUCAACUUCGGAAAGGGAGUGGAAACUGAAGAGCUAGAGUAUAGUAGGGGUAGAGGGAAUUCCUAGUGUAGCGGUGAAAUGCGUAGAGAUUAGGAAGAACACCAGUGGCGAAGGCGCUCUACUGGGCAUAUACUGACACUGAGGGACGAAAGCUAGGGGAGCGAAAGGGAUUAGAUACCCCUGUAGU
rnacentral:rRNA from 1 species